GAUAGACGCUGGCGGCGUGCUUAACACAUUCAAGUCGAACGGAGUAUGUUUGGAAGCUUGCUUUUGGCAUACUUAGUGGCGGACGGGUGAGUAAUGCAUGAGCAACCUGCCUUCAAGAGGGGGAUAACACAUGGAAACGUGUGCUAAUACCGCAUAGACGUACGGACGGCAUCGUUUGUACGGGAAAGGAGUAAUCCGCUUGAAGAUGGGCUCAUGUCCGAUUAGGUUGUUGGUGAGGUAACGGCCCACCAAGCCUGCGAUCGGUAGCCGGACUGAGAGGUUGAACGGCCACAUUGGGAACUGAGAUACGGGUCCAGACUCCUACGGGAGCAGCAGUGGGGAAUAUUGGGCAAUGGGCGAAAGCCUGACCCAGCGACGCCGCGUGAGGGAAGAA
rnacentral:rRNA from 1 species